UGGCAGGUCGCUUAACAGUAAAGCACCACUUUUUGCCUUUACGGGCCGCAGAUUGAGGGUUAUCGCUUGCAAAUCGAAUCCCCCCUUAAUCGCCGGAGAUGCGGGUGCAAUUCCCGUCCUGUCAA
rnacentral:tRNA from 1 species